rnacentral:rRNA from 1 species
CUACGGGUCGCACCAGUGAGGAAUAUUGCACAAUGGGGGGAACCCUGAUGCAGCAACGCCGCGUGGAGGAUGACGCAUUUCGGUGUCUAAACUCCUUUUAUAUGUCAAGAAAAUGACGGUAGCAUAUGAAUAAGCACCGGCUAACUCCGUGCCAGCAGCCGCGGUAAUACGGAGGGUGCAAGCGUUACUCGGAAUCACUGGGCGUAAAGGACGCGUAGGCGGGUUGGAAAGUCAGGUGUGAAAUCCUACAGCUUAACUGUAGAACUGCACUUGAAACUUCUAAUCUAGAGUAUGGGAGGGGGAGAUGGAAUUAGUGGUGUAGGGGUAAAAUCCGUGGAUAUCACUAGGAAUACCUAAAGCGAAGGCGAUCUCCUGGAACAUUACUGACGCUAAGGCGUGAAAGCGUGGGGAGCAAACAGGAUUAGAUACCCCUGUAGUC